GGUUGGCCCCAGCCCCUGCCCCCGCCCGCGCCGCUUCCCGGGGCCGCCGGCGGUGCCUGAGUGACGUGCUCGCUGCCGCCGCGCCGCGGUGCCGCCUGGGAGUUGUAGUCUCCGGCAGCGCGGCUUCGAAGUCCGUCCCCGUCCCUCAGUCUCCAGAGCCUGACUGCCGGCCUCGGGCCGCAGUGGGGACUACGCGGGGCCGAAGGAAUCCUCCCGGGUAGAUAAGCCUGGCCUCGGACCCUCCCUGGGACGCGGUGGGCCGGACGCCUGGAGGAGGAGAGGAGGAAAGGGCUGAGCGCUCCUCACAGUCCCUUCGAGGGCCGCGGCCCAAGGGCCUUUCUGCUCAGGAAUGAAGCUGAGGACGGGCAGCAUCUCGGGGAUGCUUCAGCCUCUGCAGAUGACUUGGCUUAGAGGACCUGUGGGAUGUGCGGAGAAGGAGAACUGGGGGAGAGACCUUGAAGUGUUUGGCGAGUGGGUGGAUGAAGCGCCUUCAGUAAAGAUUGUGGGCAUAAUCUCUGGCGAAGGAUCUGGUGUUAGUUAAGGGUUUUUCACCGGUAUGAAUUGUGUGAUGUCGAGUAAGUUCUGCUUGAAGACGGAAGGCACCCCCACAUUCUUUACACCCAUAAGGUUUCUCACCAGUAUGAAGUCUAAAAUGUUGAGUAAGAUGAUACCGGCGACUAAAGGUCUUUCCACAUUCCUUACAUUCAUAUGGAAUCUCACCAGUGUGAAUUCUUUGAUGUAAGGUAAGUUGAUAACUACAAAUAAAAGCAUUCCCACAUUUGUCACAUAUGUAGGGUUUCUUCCCAGUGUGGAUUCUGUGAUGUUGAGUAAGAUGAUAGUGCCGACUAAAGGUCUUCCCACAUUUGUUACAUUCAUAAGGUUUCUCACCAGUAUGAAUUCUCUGAUGUUGAAUAA
rnacentral:lncRNA from 1 species